rnacentral:misc_RNA from 1 species
GAUGAAGAACGUAGCGAAAUGCGAUAAGUAAUGUGAAUUGCAGAAUUCAGUGAAUCAUCGAAUCUUUGAACGCACCUUGCGCUCCUUGGUAUUCCGAGGAGCAUGCCUGUUUGAGUGUCAUUAAUAUAUCAACCUUCUCUUUUUUGAGUUGUUUGGAUGUGGGGGUUUGCUGGCCUCUUAAAUGAUUCAGCUCCCCUGAAAUGCAUUAGCAGAACAACCUGUUCAUUAGCGUGAUAAUUAUCUAUGCUAUUGAAUGUGAGGGCAGUUCAGCUUUCUAACCGUCCUUGGACAAUUCAUCAUUAAUGUGACCUCAAAUCAGGUAGGACUACCCGCUGAACUUAAGCAUAUCAUAAGCGGAGGA